rnacentral:rRNA from 1 species
GUCCAUGUCCACACCACCCUGAACGCGCCCGCUCCCGGCUGAUCUCGGAAGCUAAGCAGGGUCGGGCCUGGUUGGUACUUGGAUGGGAGACCACCUAGGAAGACCAGGUGCUGUAGGCG